UUUACCGCGUUGAUGUUCCAGCCAUGAAUGAAAUUGAAGUAACUCGGAGUUUGGGUCAUCAAAGUAAGGAAACCCCAGCCACUGCCCCACUGUCCGGCAAUAGUCAUCCAAACUGGGACAGACAGCAAUAUGGACUUCCAGGAUAUUCGAGGAUGUUCCUGGGGUGAAUCGUAUGCCAGGAAUAACCAGGCACAGUACCUUCGAAGGAAACUCUACGUUAGCAUUUCUGUUAAGUUCAUUUAUUCAUUUAUUAUUAAUUUAUUACAUAUGUAUUAGUUCAAGCUUAAGCGUGCUACAAAUUUAAUAGCUUUUACAGAAUUUAUUCAGGUUGUAUCGUUACUACUUUACAGGAAAAGAAUUAUGAUCAAUGAAAACUACCAACAUAUUUCCAUGAAAAUAAACUCUCAAUUGCUUAUGUAAAACAAUAACUAACAGGCUUAACUAACAGUAGCAUAUAUACAGGGUGGAAAUCAGAUGAAAGUUGUUCAAUACUAAGGAGGACAUUAUGUGGUGGAACUUUUGGAGGUUACAUAUAUAACCUUAUAACUUAUAAGGUAGCUUAUACAUAUAAGCUACUGUUAGUUCAGCCAAUUGAUUUCUUUCAGCAAAUAAGUCUAAAAUAAAUUUCGUUAAAAAUUGUUUUCUUACACACGAAAUCUUAAAGCCAAAAAUAAUCUUAUAAGGAUUUCGGUGAGAGAUUUCACGAUUGCCAUGGCAAAUAUUUUCAGAUAAGUCUACAGAAUGUUCUUAUCUAUAAGCAAAUUAUUACCAGAUUACUCCAAGCGAAGACGUUACAUAAAAAGCUGCACUCCAACCAU